UGACAAUGUCACGUGACGGAAUGACGCCUUCCGAGUGCCGACGUCGUAGGGUCACGUGAUGUGUAGACAGCGGCUUGUGGACAAGACACACAGGAACAGGAAGAGAGGUAAGCCCUCCCGCUACCUCAGCAGUGGAUUUUUAGGUGCAAAAUUUAAAGUUAUGAUUUUUAAAGGCGGGGCAGCACAGGGAAACAGACGGCAGAAGAUCCACUUACCAUCCGGAGGCUGCGGGCAACUGAUGGGCGGGCGGCGAUGUCGAGCGGCUGGUUCAUUGGAUCCUAUGAAAGCCGGUGAGUUGCCUAGCAACAUUUGGAGGGUUACAGUCUGAGACACUGGGUCAGGGAAGAAACCCAGGCUGGUGGAGCGGCUGAAUCCACCAGAACUGAAAGGGCAUUAGUGGGUACCAGGGGGUCUGGGGGAGCAGGCAGGGCAAGAGCGCUCAGUAGAGCCAGGCAUCUUGGUAUUACAGUGCUUGCAGACAAAAUAAGUCACUGACGUUCCAGGUUUCUGUUUAGAGGGAGGAACAGCUCUGGGUACGGACAUAAUGAGAAAAGAGACAGGAACUUUCUCACCCUAGUCUGUGUCCCCUGGCAGCUGCAGUGAGGAGAACUCUGC